rnacentral:rRNA from 1 species
AUACGGAGGAUCCGAGCGUUAUCCGGAUUUAUUGGGUUUAAAGGGUGCGCAGGCGGCCAUUUAAGUCAGCGGUUAAAUCGUGGGGCUCAACCCCAUUCUGCCGUUGAUACUGGGUGGCUUGAUUGCGGUCGAGGUUGGCGGAAUUCGUUGCGUAGCGGUGAAAUGCAUAGAUAUGACGAAGAACACCGAUUGCGUAGGCAGCUGACCAGACCGCAAAUGACGCUCAUGCACGAAAGUGCGGGGAUCGAACAGGAUUAGAUACCCUGGUAGUCCGCACAGUAAACGAUGAAUACUUGUUUUCGGCGAUAUAAUGUCGGAGGCAAAGCGAAAGCGAUAAGUAUUCCACCUGGGGAGUACGCCGGCAACGGUGAAACUCAAAGGAAUUGACGGGG